AAAGAUUAAGCCAUGCAUGUCUAAGCAGAAACUAUUUGUAAAGUGAAGCCGCGAAAAGCUCAUUACAACAGCCGUCGUUUCUUGGAUCUCCGAAUUUACUUGGAUAACUGUGGUAAUUCUAGAGCUAAUACAUGCAAUCGAGCCCUGAACAUAACUGUGAUGGGCGCAUUUAUUAGUAACAGAACCAAUCGGUGCUUGCACCGUGGGUUUGGUGAAUCUGAAUAACUGAGCAGAUCGCUUCGGUCUUUGCACCGGCGACGUAUCUUUCAAGUGUCUGUUUUAUCAACUUUCGAUGUUAGUUUAUGUGACUAACAUGGUUGUCACGGAUAACGGAGAAUAAGGGUUCGACUCCGGAGAGGGAGCCUGAGAAACGGCUACCACUUCUAAGGAAGGCAGCAGGCGCGCAACUUACCCAAUCUCAGUACGAGGAGGUAGUGACGAAAAAUAACGAGACGAGGCUCUUUGAGUUUCGUCAUCGGAAUGAGAACAAUCUAAAUCCUUUAACGAGGACCUAGCGGAGGGCAAGUCUGGUGCCAGCAGCCGCGGUAAUUCCAGCUCCGCCAGUGUAUAUCUAUGCUGCUGCGGUUAAAAAGCUCGUAGUUGGAUCUGCAUGCUUCGACCCGGUCCAACAGUAUUGUUGUGAACUGGAGUCGAGCAUAUUGUGGCCGGUUUUCGCUUGAUGCACUUUAUUGUGUGUCCUGCGUGGCUGGCGAGUUUACUUUGAAAAAAUUAGAGUGCUCAAUACAAGCGUACUUGCUUGAAUACUGGUGCAUGGAAUAAUAGAAUAGGAUCUUGGUUUUAUUUUGUUGGUUUUCGAAACACGAGAUAAUGAUUAAUAGGGACAGACGGGGGCAUUCGUAUUGCUGCGUUAGAGGUGAAAUUCUUGGAUCGUAGCAAGACGACCUACUGCGAAAGCAUUUGCCAAGAAUGUUUUCAUUAAUCAAGAACGAAAGUUAGAGGUUCGAAGGCGAUCAGAUACCGCCCUAGUUCUAACCGUAAACGAUGUUAACUAGCGACUCGCAGGUGUUACUUUAACGGCCCUGCGAGGAGCUCCCGGGAAACCUAAGUGUUCGAAUUCCGGGGGAAGUAUGGUUGCAAAGCUGAAACUUAAAGGAAUUGACGGAAGGGCACCACCAGGAGUGGAGCUUGCGGCUUAAUUUGACUCAACGCGGGGAAACUCACUUGGUCAGGACACUGUAAGGAUUGACAGAUUGAAAGCUCUUUCUUGAUUCGGUGGAUGGUGGUGCAUGGCCGUUCUUAGUUGGUGGAGUGAUUUGUCUGGUUAAUUCCGAUAACGAGCGAGA
rnacentral:rRNA from 1 species